rnacentral:piRNA from 1 species
UACUUUGUUGACUGGAUCUGGCUCA